rnacentral:tRNA from 1 species
GCCCGUGUGGAUUAAUCGGACCGCGCACUGGACUCACAAUCCAGAGGUUGCUGGUUCGAAUCCGACGGCGGGCG